GCACUUGCCUGGCAGGGGCCACACCGUGAUCAUGAAGGUGGUUUUCCCAGGGAGAAGCUCAUCCAUUGUACUACAGAUGGGCUGACCCUUUUGAUUUCCCCAAAUGUGGGAACUCGACUGCAUACUUAGUGGUGCUCAGGGACUGCAUUUGCAUUAUCCAGU